AUCUUUCUCGACAUUUUUGUUAAAUAAAGUGCAGUAUCUUCAGAUUAAUAUCUAGUAUGUGAGACAUAUAUUUAAUUUAAUUUUAAAUUAUUUUUUAUGGAGAGGGUCCACUUUAAUUUUAAAUUUAUUUGGGGAUGGUCUAUCACACUGGCUUGUCACUGGGUCCUCGUCUGCCUUACCGUCGUUGUACUAUACCAUCAAAUAUAAUUAGUGUAUGUCGUAACACACGAGUAUUGUACUAGUUGUU
rnacentral:lncRNA from 7 species